ANUGGGGGAACCCUGAUGCAGCGACGCCGCGCUGAGUGAUGAAGUAUUUCNGUAUGUAAAACUCUAUCAGCAGGGGAAGAUAAUGACGGUACCUGACUAAGAAGCACCGGCUAAAUACGUGCCAGCAGCCGCGGUAAUACGUAGGGUGCAAGCGUUAUCCGGAAUUAUUGGGCGUAAAGGGCUCGUAGACGGUUCGUCNCGUCCGGUGUGAAAGUCCAUCGCUUAACGGUGGAUCUGCGCCGGGUACGGGCGGGCUGGAGUGCGGUAGGGGAGACUGGAAUUCCCGGUGUAACGGUGGAAUGUGUAGAUAUCGGGAAGAACACCAAUGGCGAAGGCAGGUCUCUGGGCCGUUACUGACGCUGAGGAGCGAAAGCGUGGGGAGCGAACAGGAUUAGAUACCCUGGUAGUCCAAGGGCGAAUUC
rnacentral:rRNA from 1 species